rnacentral:lncRNA from 1 species
CUGACUUCAUUUUUGGUCAUCCCCUGCAGCGGAAAAGCUCUGACAGACAAGACAACCGUGAUGCUGGAUUUCCUUUGGCUUCAAGUAAAGCACUAUCUCGUUGAUGGGCCUGGAGAAGAGGAGGCGGUGUGGUGACUUCAUUGCAGCCUUCCAGUAUACAAAGGGAGCCUCCAAACAGGAGGGCAGUCGAACCUUUACAGUGGGCGUGGGAACAGAGGGCAACUCGCUGAUGGGAGUGAUGGUGUCCUGCUCGGAAG